AGUGAACGCUGGCGGUAGGCCUAACACAUGCCAGUCGAACGGCAGCACAGUAAGAGCUUGCUCUUACGGGUGGCGAGUGGCGGACGGGUGAGGAAUACAUCGGAAUCUACUUUUUCGUGGGGGAUAACGUAGGGAAACUUACGCUAAUACCGCAUACGACCUACGGGUGAAAGCAGGGGAUCUUCGGACCUUGCGCGAUUGAAUGAGCCGAUGUCGGAUUAGCUAGUUGGCGGGGUAAAGGCCCACCAAGGCGACGAUCCGUAGCUGGUCUGAGAGGAUGAUCAGCCACACUGGAACUGAGACCCGGUCCAGACUCCUACGGGAGGCAGCAGUGGGGAAUAUUGGACAAUGGGCGCAAGCCUGAUCCAGCCAUACCGCGUGGGUGAAGAAGGCCUUCGGGUUGUAAAGCCCUUUUGUUGGGAAAGAAAAGCAGCAGGUUAAUACCCCGCUGUUCUGACGGUACCCAAAGAAUAAGCACCGGCUAACUUCGUG
rnacentral:rRNA from 1 species